GUAGAUGCAUUGCAAACAAUUUCAAAGCGAAUUUGUGAUCCAAAUAAUUAUGAAGAUUUAAAACCAGCAUUCCCAUUCAAAUCGGAAAUGGAAACAGUCCGCCAAAUGAUGACCAGGAUGGCUGAGCAUUUUAUUCAGCCCAUGUAUGGCAGUUUACAGAACACUACUAGGCCACAGUCUGCUAGAUCAGUGUAUUAUAAGGUAAAGUAUA